CGGGGUGUGGGGAGGGCCCUGGGCUCGGGCAGGGGUGUGGGGCCCCGAUUCCUCGGCCCCGCG
rnacentral:precursor_RNA from 1 species